CUACGGGCUGCUCCAGUGAGGAAUUUUGCGCAAUGGGGGCAACCCUGACGCAGCAACGCCGCGUGAGUGAAGAAGGCUUUCGGGUCGUAAAGCUCUGUCAAGUGGGAAGAACCUGCAGGAUGUUAAUAUCAUUUUGCACUGACGGUACCACUGAAGGAAGCACCGGCUAACUCCGUGCCAGCAGCCGCGGUAAUACGGGGGGUGCAAGCGUUAUUCGGAAUCAUUGGGCGUAAAGAGCGCGUGGGCGGUCUUGUAAGUCAGAUGUGAAAGCCCGGGGCUCAACCUCGGAAGUGCAUUUGAUACUGCGAGACUUGAGUAUGGGAGAGGGAAGUGGAAUUCCUGGUGUAGAGGUGAAAUUCGUAGAUAUCAGGAGGAACACCAGUGGCGAAGGCGACUUCCUGGACCAAUACUGACGCUGAGGCGCGAAGGCGUGGGUAGCAAACAGGAUUAGAUACCCUGGUAGUC
rnacentral:rRNA from 1 species